GAUGAACGCUAGCGACAGGCCUAACACAUGCAAGUCGAGGGGCAGCACGGGAGUAGCAAUACAACUGGUGGCGACCGGCGCACGGGUGAGUAACACGUAUGCAACCUACCUGUAAGAGGGGAAUAACCCGGAGAAAUUCGGACUAAUACCGCAUAAUACCUCGAAGCUGCAUGGCUUUGAGGUUAAAUAUUUAUAGCUUACAGAUGGGCAUGCGUAACAUUAGAUAGUUGGUGAGGUAACGGCUCACCAAGGCUUCGAUGUCUAGGGGUUCUGAGAGGAAGAUCCCCCACACUGGUACUGAGACACGGACCAGACUCCUACGGGAGGCAGCAGUGAGGAAUAUUGGUCAAUGGGCGAGAGCCUGAACCAGCCAUCCCGCGUGCAGGAAGAAUGCCCUAUGGGUUGUAAACUGCUUUUUCGCAUGAAGAACAUCCCCGACGUGUCGGGGACUGACGGUAAUGCGUGAAUAAGCACCGGCUAACUCCGUG
rnacentral:rRNA from 1 species